UGAGGAAUAUUGGUCAAUGGAGGCAACUCUGAACCAGCCACGUCGCGUGAAGGAUGACGGCCCUACGGGUUGUAAACUUCUUUUGUAAGGGAAUAAAGUGAGCCACGUGUGGCUUUUUGCAUGUACCUUACGAAUAAGGAUCGGCUAACUCCGUGCCAGCAGCCGCGGUAAUACGGAGGAUCCGAGCGUUAUCCGGAUUUAUUGGGUUUAAAGGGUGCGCAGGCGGGAGAUUAAGUCGGCGGUGAAAUUUUGCAGCUCAACUGUAAAAGUGCCUUCGAAACUGGUUUCCUUGAGUGUAGAUGAAGUAGGCGGAAUUUGUGGUGUAGCGGUGAAAUGCAUAGAUAUCACGAGGAACUCCGAUUGCGUAGGCAGCUCACUGGGCUACAACUGACGCUGAGGCACGAAGGUGCGGGGAUCAAACAGG
rnacentral:rRNA from 2 species